rnacentral:lncRNA from 1 species
CAGCCAAGAGCAGAAACCCCACCUGUGGCUAAUUAUAACUUGAGCAGUUGCAUGCAGGCAUGAGGUAUUUAUUUACAAAUCUGUGCUUUACAAAAUGCUAACCAAAUGUAGUAUUUUUAUUUCCUGGCCUCUCUCUGAUGAAAAAAGAAAAGCCAGCAAGAAGGAAGGAAAGAAGGAAGAAGAAGAAACAAGAGUCCUACUUUACUGCUGAGGAAACUGGGGAAUCUGUUCCUUUGUUCACCGCUGAGUCUGUAAUCUUCCUCUACCACCAUCAUAGAAGGAGAAUUUGUUCCCAGAGAGGGCCAGGCAUCGCUUCCUCCUCUGAGCGCUGUCAGGCAGAAGUCCAAAAUGAAACUGGGUCACAGCCUGUGGACCUGAAUAUGUGGAGGGACUUUUGGCUUGACCAGGACAGCAGGACAUGGAAAUUCCAGAACUGGAAAUAAACACACCCUUUCUCAACCUCAGGCUCACGGUGCAGCAGGAAAGUCUGUCAUUCCCAGAGACAAACUCUACUGCUACCAGAUACCCACAUUCUCAGAAGCCUAGAGUAUUCGGAGGUCUUCUGAUGCCAGACUUGCUUGCUUGUCACUUCUUGGCGUUACAUUGCCCUGUGGCACAGUGUGAUUACACUGUGUGGGAAGUCUAAGAAAACUGAAAUGUUCAAAAAAGUUUCACUCAAGAAUCCUCCUCCACACUUCCAGAGAAUUCUCUUUGCAGUCGGACUGAAGUUUAACUAUCACCAUCAUUCCUGCCUUGACAUCCAUCACUGCCACAACUCCAUCAUCCAAAUGACUUGUCCACAGCCACAGGACUAAAACAUGGGCGACCAGGACUCUGACUCCCAGCCCAGUGCUCCUUCCUCUUGCAUACUAAGGUAAAGGGACAUCCGUUUUUCAAAUUUAUUUUUUCCAGCUUUACUGAGAUAUAAUUGACAAAUAAAAAUUUUAUGUAUUUAAGGUAUAUGAUGUGA